UACGUAGGUGGCGAGCGUUGUCCGGAAUUACUGGGCGUAAAGGGCGCGUAGGCGGCCUUCUAAGUCAGACGUGAAAUCCCUCGGCUCAACCGGGGAACUGCGUCUGAGACUGGAAGGCUUGAAUCCGGGAGAGGGAUGUGGAAUUCCAGGUGUAGCGGUGAAAUGCGUAGAUAUCUGGAGGAACACCGGUGGCGAAGGCGGCAUCCUGGACCGGUAUUGACGCUGAGGCGCGAAAGCCAGGGGAGCAAACGGG
rnacentral:rRNA from 1 species